rnacentral:rRNA from 1 species
UCGGAUUGUAGUCUGNAACCCGACUACAUGAAGCUGGAAUCGCUAGUAAUCGCGGAUCAGAAUGCCGCGGUGAAUACGUUCCCGGGUCUCGUACACACCGCCCGUCACACCAUGGGAGUCGGAAAUGCCCGAAGUCAGUGACCCAACCGUAAGGAGGGAGCUGCCGAAGGUGGAGCCGGUAACUGGGGUGAAGUCGUAACAAGGUAAC